rnacentral:lncRNA from 1 species
AUGUCGCUCAAAAUGAGAAGGAAGAUUUAUCUCCCCUAUGAUCCUAUGUUCCCUCUACAAAGUUCUGUCUAUUUUUGGACAAGGUGUUCUUGGAAGGAGGGGUCAGAACUAAAGUUAAGAAAGCCACUUGAGUGUUUUUUUCACCAUGAAGAUGCCAAUCAUUUUUGUCAGGAGUUUACUCAUGGAAUCACAUUCUUUCAUUUAUGUGUUUGGACAUCACUGGAAAUGAUUUUUGUUGGUGGUGGUUUUGCUUUCUUUUUUUUUUUUUUCUGUCUAUUCAUUCUGAGACACUCAGCAAACAAGAAUUUACAAUGCUGCAUCAUCCAUGUAGUCGGUAGCAGCCACUGCUAAGUAUGCUGUUUGACGAUCAUACUUGUAACUAAAGUAAAAUGAGAAUUACAGAAGCAAAACCUUUCUUUUUGUUUGUCCUUUUAUACACUUCACUAAACUUCAAAACAUACAUUAACUAUUUAUAUAAUUGGGAAUAAUUCUAAGUCUAAACUUUCAUGACAAAAAUCUUUUUGUUCUCUUACAUAGUCUUUAUUAUCAGACUAACUUAUAUUAAUUUGAUGAAAGAUUCAGUCUUGAGUAAAACAUCAAAAGGACAGUCCUUCAGAAACUGAACUUUCAAUAUAUUGAGAGCAAUAGAUCAGUUUUUAAUUACUCCAGCCAAACACUUAGUCCAUUUUUUUAGCCCUUUGAUUUUAUAGGUAAUUUCAUAGAAUCAUAGGAUCAUUGUCCUGUGUUGAAAAGGACCUUAAAGAUCAUCUAGUUUCAACCCCCCUGCUCUGGGCAGAGUUGUCAACCACUAGAGCAGGCUGCCCAGAGCCCCGUCCAGUUUGGCCUUGAAUGUCUCCAGGGAUGGGGCAUCCACAACCUCUCUGAAAGUUAGAUCAUUCUGGACAGGAAUUAUUCUCUCCUAACUUUUUUUUUUUAGUGCAUAUUCUGCAUUUAAACCAGUUAUUCUGGGCUUUCUUUAGAGUUACUGCGCAGAAGGAACCAUUUGAGUAAGUGAUUCAUCUAAUCUACUUCAGGAUCUAAGGAAUAUUGUUGAACUCCUUAGACUAUAAAAAUCAGUCCAUUUUGAGACCAGAUCAGACCAGGCUGCUCAGAGCUUUAUCCAGUCAGAUCCAGAAAUCUUCAAAGACGGUACUGCACAGUCUCUUUGGGCAACUUGUUCCACUGCCUGGCUGUCCUCAUAGGGAAAAAGAUUCUCCUUAUAACAAGCAUGAACCUCUCAUAUUUAACUAGAUGCCCUUCUUGCCAUACACAGCUAUCAAAAGUCUUGCUAGAUAGUAGCAAGUGGCUACUUGUAGGCAGCAGGUACUACUGUUAGGUAACUCCACAGUGGUCUCUUCUCCAGGUGAACAAGCCUCACUCUCACAGCUUCUCCUUACAGAGCAAGUGCUCCAAUGCUGACCAUCCUGGUCCCAUUCUGCAGAAUUUUCUCCAGUUUAUCAUUGUCUUAUCAAUGUCUUCCUUGUAGUGUGGAGCCCUGAACUAGUUACAAUAUCAGGUUGAAUGAGUGCUGAGUAAGGAGGAAUAAUUCCUUUCAUCUACGGCUUGUGCUCCUCUUAAUACAGAUCCAGUUAUUGUUAGCCAUCUGCUGCCAGGUCACACAGCUGGCUAAUGUUCAGCACAUUCUUUCACAUUGGUCCCCAGUGCCUCUUCCACAGAGUUGCUCCCCAGACAGUCUUUCCCCAACCUGUACCUUCCCAGGGGCACUAAUUUGCUUAUGUUCUUGUUGAGUUUCAUGAAGUUCAUUGAUCUGUUCCCACCUUCUGUAUGUCCUGAGUGGCUGCCCUGCCAUCAAGCAUCUGUUCCAGGUCACUGGACCAGGACCAUACCAGGACCCCUGCUGUAUUCUUGUAGUUACUGGCCUCCAGGAAGGAUACAACCCAUUGCUGUAACCCUUUCAGUAUAAUUUUUCAGACAAGUUUUUAUACAUCUGUUUGUCAAUCCAACCAGACUGUAACAUCCUAAAUACCAAAACACUGUUUGAAACUGUUGAAAGCCUUUCUUUUCCAAUGGCAUCUAUUCCUCCCUUCUCAUCCACAAAUCCAGUUGCUUUGUCAUAAAAAGCAAUCAGGUUGGUCAGAUUUAUUGUUGGUAAAUCCAUGCUAAUUGUUCCAAAUCAUUUUCUCCUUCAUUAUCCCCAAAGGGUGUCUGAAGAGAAUUUGCUCCACAAGUCUUUUCAGGCAACAAAGUGAGGCUACAAAGAGGGGAGUAAGAAUAAGCAGGAAAGUGGAAUUAACUGAUACAGUUCAUACAGAGGGAAACUUGCCUCUGUGUGGAAGAUAGAUUUAUAUACCCUAGCUUUAGAUGUCUCAAAGUUGCAUAACUAAGUUUGAUCUAAUAACCUUUAUAAUCAAAAAAUAGAAACUCCAGAUGAUUAUUUUUUCUAUGAUGCCUUAGAAUGAGAUUAACUGCCCUCCAGAGGUUUUUGUUCCAUUCAGUAUAAAAUGACUUUAUGUUUUCUGUGUUAGGCAGCUAGGGUGGGAUUCAGCUCAUAAAUUAGCUGUCAGAUGUAAGACUGCAUCUCUGAGUGUGGUCAAUGAAAACUUUAAUAUUCAUUCUGCCUGUCUUCAUAUAGAGGUGUAUUGACAUUUAAGAUGCCCUAGGGUAUCUGAGAUAUCCAUAACCACCUGUAAUGCAGGACUUAUAGGAGUUAUUUUUUUAUUAGUAUUCUUCUCAAGUUGCAAUUGAAGACCAGGCAGCAUAACCCAAGGUAUCUCAAAUAGCACUAAAUACUGGAGUAUGGGCAACUGAAUGAGCCACUAAUCAACAGUGAAGAGGUCCAGGGGGCAUUAAUUUAAACUUAAAAGCAGAAUUCUGUAAGUAGACAAUAACAUUUAAGUUUCUGAAAUCUGAAGCUACAUCCAAUCCCUAAUGUUGACCUAUGUUAAAGCAGAUGUAUCCCAACCUUACAGUACCAUAGGGCCAUAUAUGUCCCACAUCACCAUUCAACAAAUCUGACCAUGACUUACCUCUGAAGAUAAUAGAAAUCAUUAAAUGUUCAACUUGAGAAAAAGUUCUUCACCUUACUUCUUCCUUAUGCAAAGGACCAAACUGGGACUCACUUGGACCCUGCUGCUGUGGUGGUUUCACACCAGUAGGUAGCUAAGCACCACAGUGCUGUUCUCUCACUCCAGCUCCUUAAAAGGACAAGGGGAGAAAAUACAAUGGAAAAAAGCUCAUGGGUUGAGAUAAGGACAGGGAAAUAAUCCACCAAUUACUGUCAUUGGCAAAACAGAUUCAGCAUAAGGGAAAUUAAUGUAAUUUAUUGCCUACUAAUAACAGACUAGAGCAGUGAGAACUAAAAGCAAACUAAAAACACCUUCCCCUUCAUCCACCCUCUUCUACUUCCUUCUCUAGAGUAGUGCAUGGGAAUGGGUGUUUGAGUCAGCCUAUAAUGCUUCAUUUCUUCUUUUCCUUCCUGGUCACUCUCUGCCCCUGCUCCACAUGGGGUCCCUCCCAUGGGAUGCCAUCCUUCCCGAAGUGAUUCUGUGGGGGCUUCCCACAGGCAGCAGCUCUUCAACAACUGUUCCAAAAUAUGGGUCUGUACCAUGGGGUCCAUCAUUCAGGAGCAAACUGCUCCAGCAUGGAUCUUCCACAGGCUGAAGCUUCCCUCCAGACUCCCUGCUCCUGCAUGGGCUCCUCUCCAUGGGCUGCAGCUCCGGCCCGGGGCCUGCUCCACUGGGGGCUCUCCAUGAGCAUGUGGAUGUGGCCUGGAGGAGGCCACAUGCUCCACCAGGGGCUGCAGCAUGGAGAUCUGCUCCAUGUGGGACCCAUGUGCUGCAGAGGGACAGCCUGCUCCAGUACGGACCCCUCGAUGGGCUGAAGGAGAACUGCUGUUCCAAGUGUCCAGAGCACGCACACCUCUUCCUUUUUCACUGAACUUCACUGACCUUGCUGAACCAUCCUUGGUUUUAUAAUGUGACUGCAUAUUAAGAUGACCUACACUUUCUUAGAUACCUAGAAUCCCAAGACACAUCAAUUCAAUAAAUAAAAUGUUCCAUGGCUUAUUCUCCA